AGAGAAUAGAUACCCUGGUAGUCCUAGCCGUAAACUCUGAGCACUUGGUUGAAGGGUCCUCCAUAGCCUUUUAGCCGUAGCGAAAAAGUGUUAAGUGCUCCGCCUGGGGGAGUAUGGUCGCAAGGCUGAAACUCAAAGAAAUUGACGGGGGCUCACACAAGCGGUGGAGGAUGUGGCUCAAUUCGAGGCUACGCGAAGAACCUUAUCCUAGUCUUGACAUGCACGGAUUAACUCCUGGAAACAGGAGCCACGCCUUCGGGUGGAACGUGCACAGGUGCUGCAUGGCUGUCGUCAGCUCGUGUCGUGAGAUGUCGCGUUAAGUCGCUUAACGAGCGAAACCCUUGUCUCCAGUUGCCAGCGGGUCAUGCCGGGGACGUCUGGAGAGACUGCCGGUGUUAAACCGGAGGAAGGUGGGGAGUGACGUCAAGUCCUCAUGGCCUUUAUGACUAGGGCUGCACACGUCCUACAAUGGCGCGCACAAAGGACGCCAAGUCGCGAGACCAAGCAAAUCCCAAAAA
rnacentral:rRNA from 1 species